rnacentral:tRNA from 5 species
GCCUUUAUAGCUCAGGGGUAGAGCGUUGCACUCGUAAUGCAAAGGUCGCUAGUUCAAAUCUGGCUGGAGGCA